GGGUUGUGAGGUUAAGCGACUAAGCGUACACGGUGGAUGCCCUGGCAGUCAGAGGCGAUGAAGGACGUGCUAAUCUGCGAUAAGCGUCGGUAAGGUGAUAUGAACCGUUAUAACCGGCGAUUUCCGAAUGGGGAAACCCAGUGUGAUUCGUCACACUAUCAUUAACUGAAUCCAUAGGUUAAUGAGGCGAACCGGGGGAACUGAAACAUCUAAGUACCCCGAGGAAAAGAAAUCAACCGAGAUUCCCCCAGUAGCGGCGAGCGAACGGGGAGGAGCCCAGAGCCUGAAUCAGUGUGUGUGUUAGUGGAAGCGUCUGGAAAGGCGCGCGAUACAGGGUGACAGCCCCGUACACAAAAAUGCACAUGCUGUGAGCUCGAUGAGUAGGGCGGGACACGUGGUAUCCUGUCUGAAUAUGGGGGGACCAUCCUCCAAGGCUAAAUACUCCUGACUGACCGAUAGUGAACCAGUACCGUGAGGGAAAGGCGAAAAGAACCCCGGCGAGGGGAGUGAAAAAGAACCUGAAACCGUGUACGUACAAGCAGUGGGAGCACGCUUCGGCGUGUGACUGCGUACCUUUUGUAUAAUGGGUCAGCGACUUAUAUUCUGUAGCAAGGUUAACCGAAUAGGGGAGCCGAAGGGAAACCGAGUCUUAACUGGGCGUUAAGUUGCAGGGUAUAGACCCGAAACCCGGUGAUCUAGCCAUGGGCAGGUUGAAGGUUGGGUAACACUAACUGGAGGACCGAACCGACUAAUGUUGAAAAAUUAGCGGAUGACUUGUGGCUGGGGGUGAAAGGCCAAUCAAACCGGGAGAUAGCUGGUUCUCCCCGAAAGCUAUUUAGGUAGCGCCUCGUGAAUUCAUCUCCGGGGGUAGAGCACUGUUUCGGCAAGGGGGUCAUCCCGACUUACCAACCCGAUGCAAACUGCGAAUACCGGAGAAUGUUAUCACGGGAGACACACGGCGGGUGCUAACGUCCGUCGUGAAGAGGGAAACAACCCAGACCGCCAGCUAAGGUCCCAAAGUCAUGGUUAAGUGGGAAACGAUGUGGGAAGGCCCAGACAGCCAGGAUGUUGGCUUAGAAGCAGCCAUCAUUUAAAGAAAGCGUAAUAGCUCACUGGUCGAGUCGGCCUGCGCGGAAGAUGUAACGGGGCUAAACCAUGCACCGAAGCUGCGGCAGCGACACUAUGUGUUGUUGGGUAGGGGAGCGUUCUGUAAGCCUGUGAAGGUGUACUGUGAGGUAUGCUGGAGGUAUCAGAAGUGCGAAUGCUGACAUAAGUAACGAUAAAGCGGGUGAAAAGCCCGCUCGCCGGAAGACCAAGGGUUCCUGUCCAACGUUAAUCGGGGCAGGGUGAGUCGACCCCUAAGGCGAGGCCGAAAGGCGUAGUCGAUGGGAAACAGGUUAAUAUUCCUGUACUUGGUGUUACUGCGAAGGGGGGACGGAGAAGGCUAUGUUGGCCGGGCGACGGUUGUCCCGGUUUAAGCGUGUAGGCUGGUUUUCCAGGCAAAUCCGGAAAAUCAAGGCUGAGGCGUGAUGACGAGGCACUACGGUGCUGAAGCAACAAAUGCCCUGCUUCCAGGAAAAGCCUCUAAGCAUCAGGUAACAUCAAAUCGUACCCCAAACCGACACAGGUGGUCAGGUAGAGAAUACCAAGGCGCUUGAGAGAACUCGGGUGAAGGAACUAGGCAAAAUGGUGCCGUAACUUCGGGAGAAGGCACGCUGAUAUGUAGGUGAAGCGACUUGCUCGUGGAGCUGAAAUCAGUCGAAGAUACCAGCUGGCUGCAACUGUUUAUUAAAAACACAGCACUGUGCAAACACGAAAGUGGACGUAUACGGUGUGACGCCUGCCCGGUGCCGGAAGGUUAAUUGAUGGGGUUAGCGGUAACGCGAAGCUCUUGAUCGAAGCCCCGGUAAACGGCGGCCGUAACUAUAACGGUCCUAAGGUAGCGAAAUUCCUUGUCGGGUAAGUUCCGACCUGCACGAAUGGCGUAAUGAUGGCCAGGCUGUCUCCACCCGAGACUCAGUGAAAUUGAACUCGCUGUGAAGAUGCAGUGUACCCGCGGCAAGACGGAAAGACCCCGUGAACCUUUACUAUAGCUUGACACUGAACAUUGAGCCUUGAUGUGUAGGAUAGGUGGGAGGCUUUGAAGUGUGGACGCCAGUCUGCAUGGAGCCGACCUUGAAAUACCACCCUUUAAUGUUUGAUGUUCUAACGUUGACCCGUGAUCCGGGUUGCGGACAGUGUCUGGUGGGUAGUUUGACUGGGGCGGUCUCCUCCUAAAGAGUAACGGAGGAGCACGAAGGUUGGCUAAUCCUGGUCGGACAUCAGGAGGUUAGUGCAAUGGCAUAAGCCAGCUUGACUGCGAGCGUGACGGCGCGAGCAGGUGCGAAAGCAGGUCAUAGUGAUCCGGUGGUUCUGAAUGGAAGGGCCAUCGCUCAACGGAUAAAAGGUACUCCGGGGAUAACAGGCUGAUACCGCCCAAGAGUUCAUAUCGACGGCGGUGUUUGGCACCUCGAUGUCGGCUCAUCACAUCCUGGGGCUGAAGUAGGUCCCAAGGGUAUGGCUGUUCGCCAUUUAAAGUGGUACGCGAGCUGGGUUUAGAACGUCGUGAGACAGUUCGGUCCCUAUCUGCCGUGGGCGCUGGAGAACUGAGGGGGGCUGCUCCUAGUACGAGAGGACCGGAGUGGACGCAUCACUGGUGUUCGGGUUGUCAUGCCAAUGGCACUGCCCGGUAGCUAAAUGCGGAAGAGAUAAGUGCUGAAAGCAUCUAAGCACGAAACUUGCCCCGAGAUGAGUUCUCCCUGACUCCCUGAGAGUCCUGAAGGAACGUUGAAGACGACGACGUUGAUAGGCCGGGUGUGUAAGCGCAGCGAUGCGUUGAGCUAACCGGUACUAAUGAACCGUGAGGCUUAACCUUACAACGCCGAAG
rnacentral:rRNA from 1 species